rnacentral:rRNA from 1 species
GGCCGCGGUAUCAUAACCGUGCGAAGGUAGCAUAAUAAAUUGUUCUCUAAAUAGGGACUAGUAUGAAAGGCACCACGAGGGCUUAACUGUCUCCCUUUUCCAAUUAAUGAAACUGAUCUUCUCGUGAAGAAGCGAGAAUAAAAAUAUAAGACGAGAAGACCCCAUGGAGCUUUAAACUCAUCAUCAUUUACUUUUUUCACAUCAUCACAUAUAGUAAAAAUGUUAACUGAUAGUUUUCGGCUGGGGUGACCCUGGAGAAAAACAAAUCCUCCAGGAUGAACGGAAUAAUAAUCCUAAUCAAAGAGUCACAACUCUAAGAAUCAAAACAUUGACAUCAUUUGAUCCAAUUACUUGAUCAACGAACCAAGUUACCCUGGGGAUAACAGCGCAAUCCAUUUCAAGAGCCCUUAUCGACAAAUGGGUUUACGACCUCGAUGUUGGAUCGGGGUAUCCCAGUGGCGCAGCCGCUACUAAAGGUUCGUUUGUUCAACGAUUAACAAC